ACGCACGCUGGCGGCGUGCUUAACACAUGCAAGUCGAACGGAAAGGCCCCUUUGGGGGUACUCGAGUGGCGAACGGGUGAGUAACACGUGAGUAACCUGCCCUUGACUUCGGGAUAACUUCAGGAAACUGGGGCUAAUACCGGAUAGGAAACCUUGCUGCAUGGUGGGGGUUGGAAAGCUUCGGCGGUUUUGGAUGGACUCGCGGCUUAUCAGCUUGUUGGUGGGGUAGUGGCUUACCAAGGCUUUGACGGGUAGCCGGCCUGAGAGGGCGACCGGCCACAUUGGGACUGAGAUACGGCCCAGACUCCUACGGGAGGCAGCAGUGGAGAAUAUUGCACAAUGGGCGGAAGCCUGAUGCAGCAACGCCGCGGGCGGGAUGACGGCCUUCGGGUUGUAAACCGCUUUCAGCAGGGGCGAAGCUUGUGGUGACGGUACCUGCAGAAGAAGCACCGGCUAACUACGUG
rnacentral:rRNA from 1 species